rfam:Toxocara canis scaffold305, whole genome shotgun sequence.
GCGGCAGUAGCUCAGUGGUAGAGCCCCGGCUUCGCAUGCGGGGAGACCUGGGUUCGAUUCCCGGCUGCUUCC